rnacentral:rRNA from 1 species
GACGUAGGUGGCGAACGUUAUCCGGAAUUAUUGGGCGUAAAGGGUGCGUAGGCGGCAUGAUAAGUUAUUGGCGGGAAAUCGAGGCUCAACCUCGUGGAAACUAAUAAUACUGUUUUGCUUGAGUACAGGAGAGGUUAACGGAACUCCAUGUGGAGCGGUAAAAUGUGUAGAUAUAUGGAAGAACAUCAAUAACGGCGAAGGCAGUUAACUAUUCUGUUACUGGCGUUGAGGCACGAAAGCGUGGGGAGCAAAACGG